rnacentral:rRNA from 1 species
UACGUAGGGUGCGAGCGUUAAUCGGAAUUACUGGGCGUAAAGCGUGCGCAGGCGGUUUUGUAAGACAGAUGUGAAAUCCCCGGGCUUAACCUGGGAACUGCGUUUGUGACUGCAAGACUCGAGUGUGGCAGAGGGGGGUGGAAUUCCACGUGUAGCAGUGAAAUGCGUAGAGAUGUGGAGGAACACCGAUGGCGAAGGCAGCCCCCUGGGUCAACACUGACGCUCAUGCACGAAAGCGUGGGUAGCAAACAGG